CUACUGAAGAUGAGUGUAAUGGGAUUACACACAAAGAUGAAUCACUCAUAGUUUUCGUAGAUGGAAAAGGAAUACAAAUAGUCAAUACCCAAAGCGGGAAAACUACUACGAUUGUACCAUGUGAUUUAUGUUCAAGUUACUACCGUAUUGUGUCCAGUAACAAUAAACUAUAUUUUACUAAUAGUAAAGACCACACCGUAACAUGUUGUAAUAUGGCGGGUAAUAUUAUCUGGACAUUCAAAGACGAGAAUGUUGUUAAGGAUCCUUGUGGUAUAGCAGUUGACAAUGCGGGAAAUGUUUACACUGUCAGUCAAAGUCAUCAUACACUUAUUGUGUUGUCUGCAGAUGGACAACAAAGUAGACAACUUUUGACGAAAGACAACGGACUUAAGGAUCCAUAUGCAAUAGCUUAUGAUAAGAUAACAAAUCGUAUUUGCGUU
rnacentral:lncRNA from 1 species